UACGGAGGGUGCAAGCGUUAUCCGGAUUUACUGGGUUUAAAGGGUGCGUAGGCGGAUUUGUAAGUCCGAGGUGAAAUCUCCGAGCUUAACUCGGAAACUGCCUUGGAUACUAUAAGUCUUGAAUGACGUUGAGGUUAGCGGAAUAUGUCAUGUAGCGGUGAAAUGCUUAGAUAUGACAUAGACCAUCUAUUGCGAAGGCAGCUAACUAAGCGUAUAUUGACGCUGAUGCACGAACUCGUUGGCAUCAAACAGG
rnacentral:rRNA from 1 species